rnacentral:tRNA from 1 species
AGUGGUAUAGCUCAGUGGUAGAGUUUGACUGCAGAUCAAGAGUUCCCCAGUUCAAAUCUGGGUGGCAAGG